AAACAGAACAUCCUGAGGAUAUAACGAGCAAUUUGGAAAAAUAAAUUUGUCGGUUUCUUAUACGGUUGCGAAGUAGUAGUGGCCACAAGAAAAACAGUGUUUGGGGAGAUAACUCUUACAAGGUAAAGGUUUUUGUUACGCGGUGUCAGUUUCAGAAGCGCAUUAACUGUUCGAUAUCAUAUACCAAAUAUCUAAGCGACAUCUUGUGAAACAAAAAAACAGCGAAGGAAAAAAAAGUUGGCGGAAGAAAAAAAAAAAAAAUAAUAAUAAUAAUUAAAAACCAAUUGUUCA
rnacentral:lncRNA from 1 species